AAAGAAUUAGUUAAAUUAACAUUAGUAUGUCAAGCUAAAAUUAUUAGUAAAUCCUAAUAUUCUUUA
rnacentral:tRNA from 1 species